AUUCAGUCGACGAGUCCUAAACAGGAGGAAACACAUGUUGUGGAU
rnacentral:hammerhead_ribozyme from 1 species